rnacentral:rRNA from 1 species
GAUGAACGCUAGCGGGAGGCCUAACACAUGCCAGCCGAGCGGUAUUUGUUCUUCGGAACAGAGAGAGCGGCGCACGGGUGCGGAACACGUGUGCAACCUGCCUUUAUCUGGGGGAUAGCCUUUCGAAAGGAAGAUUAAUACCCCAUAAUAUAUUGAGUGGCAUCACUUGAUAUUGAAAACUCCGGUGGAUAGAGAUGGGCACGCGCAAGAUUAGAUAGUUGGUGAGGUAACGGCUCACCAAGUCAAUGAUCUUUAGGGGGCCUGAGAGGGUGACCCCCCACACUGGUACUGAGACACGGACCAGACUCCUACGGGAGGCAGCAGUGAGGAAUAUUGGACAAUGGGUUAGCGCCUGAUCCAGCCAUCCCGCGUGAAGGACGACGGCCCUAUGGGUUGUAAACUUCUUUUGUAUAGGGAUAAACCUACUCUCGUGAGAGUAGCUGAAGGUACUAUACGAAUAAGCACCGGCUAACUCCGUG